AUGAAUGAAGAAUCAGUUGUGGCGGAACCCAGAAACGAUCAAUGACGGAUGUUGAUCAGUAAGCCAUCACAGUCACGCGCAGCUCACGCCUCUAACCCUUACCUGUAAUAUCAUUUCCAGGACUGAUAUUUAUUGAUAUGGAUGCAAACUGCUACCAAAAACCUUAAAUAUAAGGGUUCGACUGAGUCACCCCACGGUCUUGCGAGUGUCGACCACUUGAUUGAUAUUGAGAAGCAAGAGAUGGAAGAAGCGUCGGAUGAAGAUGAAAUGUCAUACUAUGACACUGCAGAGUACUUUGCAGAACCUUGUUUUGGUCCCUUUUGUUUUUGAGAUUUCCGAUCAUUGGAGCUGAUUGAUCAGAUGGUACUGAUAUUGUUUUCUGCUUAUGUAUUGACUUAGACGGCAAGCUUGGUUUUUGGGUAAUGGAGAAUCUGCAGACCUUAACAAAUCUACAGGAGAUCUUGCUUGAACGGAAUCGAAUUAAAGUUGUAAACUCGUGUGGACUUACAUAUGCAUCAAGAAGCCGCUCACUGCAUUGUUUCCUAAUAGAUGGGAUGGGAGAGCAUUAUCUCUCAAGGUUCUUCAUUUUUUCCCCUCACAUGUUGUAGUUGACUUCAACAAUGUUUGGUCAAAAGUGCUGGUGAUUUUGAUGCAAAGGAAGAUAUUACUAGCUUAUGAAUAGGUGUUUGUUCUAAAUUUGUGUAAUGAAUAGGUAUUACUAGCUUAUAUUACUUGUGUUUUCCUGUUUGGGGACGUUUGUA